rnacentral:tRNA from 1 species
GCUCUUGUAGCCCAAUUGGAAGAGGCUGCCGUCCCAAAAACGGUGUGUUGUGGGUUCAAAUCCCACCAAGAGUA